UCCCAGACAGUCCCUUCAGUAUGAAUGGUGGAGCUGCAGAGGAUAGGUUUCCUGCAGCAAUUAGGAAAGUCUGAAGGAGAGGAGGGGGGGGAGACAGAAGGAGAGACCUCGGUGAUGUGGCGUGGGCUCCAAGAUGACUUUAAUUCCGAAGUGCAAAGAGAAAGGAAAUGUGUCAGCUCAGACUGCUGCAGAUGCCUCGUACAUUUUGGCUGAGUUAAGAAAAGAAAAUCAAUAUAAAGUUUAAAAAGAAAAAAAAAGUGUGCAAAGUUUGCACCUCUGCGCCAGUUGGUUUCCAGUUGAGGCUUAGAGAUGAAGAGAAGAGGAUGAAGUGGAGUCACAAAACUGAAUUGAGGAUUUGAGUCAUCUUUACCAGAGAGGGUCGUUUUUACUCCAGCUGACUGUAAACAUGAGCUGCGAGUCACAACCUGCAGUAAAACAAGUCUGUGGGCCAGGAGUGUAACCACUUUUGCCACAAGACCUGAAGGCCGUCAUGGAAACCACCUGAGUAGAUCUCAUGUGUGGAGAUGAUGCUGAGUCACUUUGGGGCAUGACGUCACCAUCAUAAGAUGGCGGAGAGAUGACCGCAAGCAGCGACACAAGAGGUGGUGCUGGAUGUCGUGGUUUGCAGCUGCUGGUUCUUGGCUUAAAAUUGUUAUGUGGAGUCGCCAGAGGGAAUAACUACCUCAAAUGUUGAAAGGAAGAACAAAUUCAAGAGGUUUAAAGGGGCAUGCCAUUUUUGCUUCUACUGAAAUAUCCUGUGAUGACCGGAUAGAUACACAUGUGCUGCAGACCCACCCUGCCUGUCGGAACAACUAAAGCAGUCCAGUAAACUGCACCCUCGACCACAACGCAGCACUCACAACCAGGAAAUGACAACACAGAUGCUACACCACAAAACCAAAAUAACUGGGAUCAUCUGGUGCAAUAACAUAAUCACCUUAAGUUAGGGGCAACAAUGUGCAUUCAAUCUCCUUUUAGCAUCUACAGUUUAUGUCUAAAGUUGUCAUUUUGUAAAAUCUUCUUGAUAAGUCAUGAACGUUAAACUAUGAGGUUACUGUAGAGUCACACACCUGGUGCUUUCUUCUGAGGGCAUUAUUGUAACGAGAGUAUAAGUUUUCUCUUUGCUGAGUCAGUAUUUAGUGGCAGUUCGCCGACCGGACGAAUCAUUUCAGUCUUUCCUCUCCUUGUUCCAUCUGUUCACAUCCUGUUUCACUACAGUGAAGUUCUCCUGUUACUGAGUGUUCUGCUACAGCUGGAACAGAUUAUCCCCCUGAAGACUCACAGUGAUGAUAAUGAAAUAUAAUUCAAUGUUGAGUGAUGUAUGAAUGAGUACUUUAUAAUUUGACAGUCAAGAUGCAAAAGGCAAAGUUCCUAUUGAACUUUUUUUUUUUUUUACUUUCCUUCUCACUUUCAUGUGUCGCAUUUUGCUAUUGCUAUUUAUCAUUAGCACAAUACAUGGGUAGAUUUGGUUUUUUAUUUAUUUAUUUAUUUAUUUAUUGCCUCUUUUUUGAGAGUGUGAGAGUGAAUGAAUAAUGGGUCAAUAAUGUAAGGCACUUUGAGCGUCCAAAAAAGCACUAUAGAAAUCUAAUCCAUUAUUAUUAUUAUUAUUAUUAUUAUUAUUAUUAUUAUUAUUAUUAUUAUUAUUAUUAUUAUUAUUUAUUUUUUUAGUUUUUUUGCCUAUUUCUCUUCUAUAAUGUCUAUACUCUGUGAGAUAAGUUAUUAGUCACUAUAAGAUACAGUACUGUUACAGGGCCGGAGUGGGACUCAUUUUCAGCCCUCAAGUUUCAUACCUCAGACCGGCUCACUUUAUACCUAUUAUAUUAAAAUCAUGUAUUUAUAGCCUUACAUGUUAAGUCUAAAAUAGCGGACUAUUUUCAACAGCCUUGUAAUUCAGUGUAUUUUUCUAAAAUAUUUCCAUUUCAACACAAUAUCCUUUUCAACAAUAUCAGAAUCUAUAUUACAGAUAUCCAAACCUCAAAUUAAAUAAAAGAAUAAAUGAAAUAAAAUGGCAAAUUACUGUUCACAGACAUAUAAUAACCAGCUCACACACUGUGUUACAUAAAUUAAUAUAUUAUAAUGUUAUAUCACAAUGCCACACAAUUCAUUGACUUGAUAAUGAAUUAACUUGAACGGUAGUUUUCAGGCAAAGUUGUUGUAUUUUGUUCAAUUUCUUGUCUUACCUGUUUCAUCAUCCUCCAUUGUUUCAAAAUGUGAGCUCGUUUUAGUAAAAAAGUUGCCAAUUUUUGCUCAUUUGGCUGCAUCAGCCUCAAGUGCGUUCCUCUAUUUGAUUUGUGCCUUUUUUCACCACCCUCGCUCUUUUUAUUUUCCAUUUUUCACACUGACAGUCACCAUAUGCUCUGCACUUUUCUCUUUCCCUUGUGCAUGGUGUGCUAUGUGUUUGUUACAUCAAGGUCCACCUGCACAAAAAAAAAAAAAAAAAAAAGAUGCCAGUGGAGGCGGAGGUGGCCCAGCCCAGAGACAGUAACUUCAAAGUCGUUUAAGGAAACAAUCUCUGGUCAUGCAUGUGAUCAACCCAGUGCUGUGACUGAACACUGACAAAAAAAAAAAAAAAAAAAAAAAAAAAAAAAGAAUGAACACCAGGAAAAAAA